rnacentral:tRNA from 1 species
GGGCGUAUAGCUCAGUGGGAGAGCGCUUCGUUCACACCGAAGAGGUCGCAGGUUCGAAACCUGCUACGCCCA